GACGAACGCUGGCGGCGUGCUUAACACAUGCAAGUCGAACGAGAUCCCAUGUGUAGCACUACACAGGAAGAUCUAGUGGCGAACGGGUGAGGAACACGUGAGAAACGUACCCCAGACUUUGGGAUAACAGUCCGAAAGGACUGCUAAUACCAAAUAACGUCGGAAGUCCGCAUGGACAUCUGACGAAAGGGAUUCCGGUUUGGGAGCGUCUCGCGGACCUAUCAGCUAGUUGGAGGGGUAACGGCCCACCAAGGCAACGACGGGUAGCUGGUCUGAGAGGAUGGUCAGCCACACUGGGACUGAGACACGGCCCAGACUCCUACGGGAGGCAGCAGUGGGGAAUCUUGCGCAAUGGGCGAAAGCCUGACGCAGCAACGCCGCGUGCGGGAAGAAGGCUUUCGGGCUGUAAACCGCUUUCAGUAGGAACGAAACUGACGGUACCUACAGAAGAAGGAGCGGCCAACUAUGUG
rnacentral:rRNA from 1 species